AGCGUCUUCGCGCUGGAAUCCGAAUCGCUCGAGUCUGACGUGUAAUUCUCCAUGAAUGGCGGCUGGAAAUUUGUGAAAACAAUGUUAGAAAAGCGAAGUAAAAUUUGUACUCUUCCCCUUGCCACGGACAGAAGCACAAGGAAGUCGAACGUUCCAGGAAGAAGAAGUCUAAAGAAGUGAACUCGGUUGAAAAAGCAAGUAACCGUACGAUAUUUGCUCGAUUAAACAAAGAAUUUUUGUUCAAUUCAAUUUCUUCGUUCGUCGGCUUAUCACUUGUACACGCAAACACUGUGUGUGCAAACAGUAAUCACGACGAAUUUUUAUAUAGAAUCCGAUGCCAGUUCCCCACCGAUAUUUAAGUCACAUUUUACCGAUCUAUCAAUCGGAUAUCUUCUCUCGUGUGCAUUGCAUUGGAGAUAAGUGAAAUUGGAAACGUUCGAAAUGAUAAAAAAAAAUGAUAUUUCAA